GUCAUGUUCCAAUGCAUUAUGUGAGUAUUCAAUCAAAGUGAGGCUGUUCUCCAGAAUUGGUUCUCUGCUACAGGUCAAAAC
ensembl:misc_RNA